ACAUGUUAUAGAUUAAAAAUAUUACUAACUAUAAUUCUUGUUACCGAAUAAUGUUAAGAUAAAGUAGAGGGUUUAUAUUAAUGUCACGUUUUUCUGAGAGAUGGCAACGAAUCCUUGAAAUUGACUAAUUUACAAAAUUAUUUAGAUUUUGAUGUGUUAAGGUAUAUUGUAACUCUUUUCUGUUUUUCAUUUGAAAACAAAACGAUUUGAUGGUCAAAUUUGAUUAAAUAAAUAAUAAAUAUGUUGAGAAGACAUUGUUAAUGAUGUGUUAAUAAAAAAACAAAUUUUCUCUAAGUAAUUAACAUAAUGACUUAAUGAUUACCUUUUUAAAUAUAAGUAGUCAAGUUAAUAAAUCUUAAAUAGUAAGAUAAUUAUAAUUUAACAAUUUUGUAGGCGUUAAUGUGGAAAAUUUAGUUUUAAAAUUGAUAAAUAAUGUGAAGUUUUUCAGAUGCCAUGAUGAUGAACAAUAUCAUUUUGUUAAUUAAAAUAUAGCUGCUAUAAUAAAAACAGUGAAAUGACUUUCUUGGCUAAUUUAAACUAACAAAAACAUGUUUAAGGUUAAUGCGAUUAAUUAUGCAAAUUAUAUAUCCUCUAUUUCUAUGCAAAAAUUUAUAUUUAAAAAAUGACAAUACAAGUGAAUGUGGAUGUAGCUAAUGAUACGGAAUUUAUUUAUUUUGAGAUGAAUGAAUAAAAUAUUCUCCUUAUACUAAAUUGGCCCGUGUCAGCCAAGUACAAUCUAUCAUCACUAAGUGAUUGAUAAUUUGGGAGGAAAAAAAAAAAAAAAAACAAAAAAAUGAGAAUUUAAUAAGAUAAACUUAUCCUGUAACCGUCAUACACGACCUGAAAUAUUUCCACAAAAUAAAACAAUACUCUAAUGAAUACUUCAAUUAAUUCGAGAAAUUCAUUGAUAUUGAAAAAUGUAAACAAAUAUCUUUAUUUUACCAGGACCCAAAAUACAUUUUCCCUUUUAAAUAUACUCUUGCCAAAAAUUAAAGAAACCAAAAAAUUCUUAAAAUUUUUUAAUCAUUUUUGCAAAGCUGUAACUCCGUGAAAAAUGGUCGUAUUAAAAUUGAAAAAAAUAACAUUUUGUAGCUUAAAAUCUCUUAUUUUGGUGCAUUUUUAUAAAUAAUUUUUUAGAGCUAUAGCUAUUGCGCAAACAUAAGAAAUAUCGCGAAACAAAAGUUUUUAAAAUUUUAUUUUCCAAAGAGUCUAUGGGCCGUGGAAAAAUAUUUCCAGAUAAAACAAUGCAUGAGCCAGUUAGCGAAUUUAUUUUGCUGCAAUCUGUAUUUUUUUAGAGAUUCGUACAACAACUUGUCGCUAAGAUAUCAGCCGUCAAACGAAAAAUGAUCCUUUUUGUUUCGACAGUCAAUAUUUCAGGUACUAAUGAUCGCACAGUAAAUUGAAGAUCGGCGUUAAAAACUAGAAUAAAUUUCUUACAAGAGCCUUUCAUCAUUUUUUUAAAAAAAAUUUUUUUAUUUAUUUUUAACACUCAUUAGAAGUAAAUACAAAAAAAAAUACCUUUUUUUGAGUUUUUCCGUAAAUCAAACGUUAUUUUGUAAAUAUCAAUGAAAAGACUAAUGUUUCUAGUUUCUUUUUUUAGCUUGAUGUACCCCCAAUAACCCUGUAAAUUUUUCAAUUGAUGUAUCGAACCGUUUUUUUCGGGGUGAUUAAAUAAAGUUUUGCAAAAGAAUUGAAGAAACGAGUUUUGUUUCUUAAAAAAAGUAAUCAUCAUCAAAAUAAAAAAAUUAUUUGUUUUGGACUUUUCUUAUAUUUUUACGUCGGUUACUCAGUAAAUGUGAAGAAAAGAGAAAAAAAAAUCUGUGUACCGGUAAACCCUGCAGACCAGCCCCAAAACUUCCCUCUGUUUUUGAGCUCCUUAAGCUCGAAAACAUAAUUACUUGAAAAUUUUUCGGCUCUUCGAACUCAAAAAACUAUUAGACCGUCAAAAACAUGCAUUUCUCGCGUGGCUCUGAUGAAAACUUUAUUUUUGAAAAUUGGACCGAAACCAAUAAUUUUC